CCUUCGUUGAUGAUUAGUUUCUGACUUUCGUUCUUCUGAGAUUGCUGAAGCCAGAUACCAUUGCUGAGAAGG
ensembl:snoRNA Gm55458 small nucleolar RNA SNORD59